GUUUUAUGUUACAUUUUUAAGUUAAGGGACUGUUACGUUACAACUAGAUAAGUUCAGGGAUAAUUUUCAAAAUUUAUCCCAUGAAAUCAUUAAAUAUGUUACUGUGGACAUGCUUUGAAACUCCUGCAUUGACUACUGAUCCGUUACUCACUUUAUAUCUUCAUAUGUAGAAAGAAUAACCAUGAUCUGUGGCUUUUGAUACAUUUGGUACACGAAUGCAG
rnacentral:misc_RNA from 1 species